ensembl:lncRNA
ACAGCAGUUUGUGCCUGACUAAUCUGGUGGCCUUCUGUGAUGGCGUGAUUGCAUUAGUAGACAAAGGAAGACCAACUGAUUUCAUUUACCUGGCCUUCUGCAAGGCCUUUGGUAUGGUCCCACGUCACAUUCUGAUCCCUAAAUUGCAAAAAUAUGGAUUUGAAGGGUGGUCUGUUGAAUGGUUGGAUGGUUGCAGUCAGAGUUUUGUGUCAGCAGCUGUAUGUCCAGGCGGAGGUUGGUGAUGAAUGUUGCCCCCCAGGGGUCUGUUCUGGGACCGGUUUCUUCAACAUCUUGUCAACAUAUUGAUAUUGACAUGGACAGUGGGACUGAGUACACCCUCAGCAAGUUUCCCAAUUACACUAGGCUGAGUGGUACAGUUGAUACAACAAAAGCUAGGGAUGUCAUCCAGAGGGCAUCCAAGGGACAAGCUUGCAAAGUAGACCCAUGUGAACCUAAUGAUGUUCAAGUGCAACGUAUUGCACGUGGGUCAGGGCAAUCCCCAUAGUGUGUAAAGAGUGGGAGAAGAACUCUCUGAGAGCAGCCCCGUGGAGAAGGACUUUGGCAUUCUGGUGGAUGAAUAGCUUGAUGCAAGCCAACAGUGUGCAUUUGCAGCUCAGAAGACCAGCUUUGUCUUGGGAUGCAUUAAAAGAGGGGUGGCCAGCAGGGCAAGGAAGUUGAUUGUUCCCCUCUACUCUGCCCUUUUGAGGCCCCACCUGCAGUUCUGUGUCCAUGCCUGUGGCCUUCAACACAAUAAAGAUGUAGAGCUGUUGGAGCAGGUCCAGAGGAGGGUCAUGAAGAUCAGAGGACUGGGAGUGCCCCUCCUGCAAAGAAAGGUUGAGGGAACUGGGCUUGUUCAGCCUAAAAAGAGAAGGCUCUGGGAAGGCCUUACUGCAGCCUUUCAGUACUUAAAGGCAGCUUCUAAAGAAGAGGGAAAUCGACUUUUUACACAGGCAAUUAGUGUUAGGACAAAGGGGAAUGAUUUUAAACUAGAAGAGGGGAGAUUUAGAUUAGAUUAGGUGGAAUUUUAUUACUUACACGGUGAUGAAGACCUGAAACAGGUUUACCAGAGAAGUUGUAGGUACCCCAUCCUCUGAGGCAUUCAAGGCCAGGUUGACCGGGGCCCUGAGCAGUCUGAUCUAGUGGGUGACAACCCUGCCCACAGCAGAGGAGGUGGAACUGAGUGGGUUUUAGGGUUCUUUUCCAAGCCAAGCCGUUCUAUCGUUCUGUGACUUGCUCAUCUGAGCUGCCAGUGAAGACCAUGAAGGUGUUUCUUCAAAAUGCUACGAUGAUAAGGAUACAUAUAUGCUCUUUUUGAACUGUUUAUUCAUAAUUAAUGGAGUGACAGUUUUUGUAACAGGCCCGAGUUUGGACUCAGUCGUGAUUUUACUGUGCUUUUUUUUUUUUUUUUGCACAAAAGCUACUAGAGGUAGCUUAAACUUCUUGAAGAAGCUGUCUGUUUAUGAGGAUGGAUUGCAUUUUGCUGGAGCUGUAUGGUACCUGCCACAUCAGAGAAGCAGCUGAGUUUCGUGGAUAGCGUUUCCAGCCGAACAUUCAAAGCCGCAGGGAGCACCACUGCAUUUGCUCUGUGCACCCUACUUAGACUGAGAGAAUUAUGUUAUUAGUGGUGGUUAGGCUUUAGUAUUGUGACUUUUGCGGCUCUUCUCAACAACAACUCAAAAAUUUGCAUGAAGUUCAAACAUUUAUUCUUAUGCUGGGAAGAUGGUAGAGAAACACACACAGACUUCCAAUGAGCUUGCCUGCUGUUUACUUAGUUUUUCAGUAUAUUUUUCUGUUUGGUUCUAUGAAUGAGCCUUUUUUUUCCCUACCCCUAAAUCCAAAUUAUGCUGACAGUUCUGAAUUUUUCCCAUGUAGCCCAGUAAGUUAUGAAUGAGAUGAUCUUUGUCCUGCAGUGGCCACGCACUGCUCCGUCCUUGUGCAUGCAGUUCCCAUUCGUAUCAGUGUGAGGUCCUCCUGCACAUGGUUUAUGGCUGUCAGUCAAGUCCUCCCACUUAGUGGCUUGUAUCUUUUCAAAACAAUUGCCUUGUAGGAUGACAUGACUUUUCAGCCCAGAGGUAAAAUUUAUGAUAGAAUCUGAAGACAAUUCUCCCAGCUGCUUCCGAUUAUUCAAUGUUUUCCUUGUUUUGUUCCAAGGCAUGAAAUAAGGAGUUCAAAUGUUUCUCCAUCUUGUGAUAUCUCAGGCAUGAUUUCCAGAAAGAAUCCAGUUCUGGCACAUACUAUCUGAUGUCUUUACAGAACCAGAACACUGUUUUAGAAAAGCCAAAAUAAAUAAAUAAAUGAAUAAAAAAAAAUUAUUUGGGAGGUAUAGCUUUAAAUAAGUGAGAACAGCUCCCAGUAUCUUGCUUGCUACUAAACUUAACAAGAUACACAUGUGGCUUUCCUACACAGAUAUAUAAAACAAGGCUAUGCCUCAUUCAAGUGAACUCUGUAGAGGGUGGUGUGUUUUGAAAAGUGACAGUUCUGAACACUGAGUUUAUCCAUGUGUUAUGCCUAGGAGAGAAUGUAAAUUUUCCCAGAUAUCUGUUGGAAACUUCAUUUCAAGGGUAAGUUUGAAGGCAGGUCAAGUGUCAUAAUGUUUUUGUGGCUGCCCAAAUCAGGUAUCACUAGUGACAACAGUGAUACUUCUCCAAUGGCUACCCUAUUAUUUGGUAACUGAAGUGAUUUCCAGGAACCCUUUCUGCAUACAUUAUCAGUAACAUGAAGAGUGAUAAAAAAUGGUGUGCGUGCUACAAGCAGUUCAAGUACUGCUUCCUCACUCGUGUUUAGAAUGUCUCUUGAGUCUAUAGGAUAUCAGGCAUUUGAAACAGAAGGUUAUAAUGGGGAACAACCCAGACUGAACUAAAAUGGGUAGAUGUGGCAGCUAUGGCCCGUGACCAUGCACAACAGCAGAUUACCGUGCAUCAGCUGGCAGGUGGUAAUUGUCCUCACGUGAGACACCAGUUCUUGUGCUUGUUCCAGUGUGUGCUGACACCUAUAUUACAGCUAAGACUGUGGAAGGAACAUGGGCUUGAAAAGUUAAUUGAAAAGAUAGGUAUGUUUUCUGGGGGUAAAGUCCAUGGCUUUAUAACAGUCCCUGCUUUCUUUUACCUUUUUCUAGCUUCCACCUAGUUGAAUAUUGCUUAAAUCCUAAUUAGAAACUGCCUUGGUCUUAAUGGACCUGGUAAAACAAAAUAGGUCUCCACAGAAAUGAAUCUGCAUAUUCCUCAUUUGGACUUUGACUUAAAUUUUAAUAAAUCCUGCUUGAAUCUCCAACUCAGCUCAAUUCAUAUUUAUUUUACUCUCUUACCUUCAGCAGUGACAACUCAGUAUCAAACUUCUACCUCCUUUUUCUGCACAGCUGCUUCAUUUUCUAUCUAAUGUUGCCCAAGAGCGGAGGUUUUGCUCAGGUACUUGCUAGGUUUUCUUUUGCUUUUGUUUCCAGAUCUUCCUGUUGAAAACUGAACGGUAUUUUAAACUUCAGUUUUGAUCUCAUAAGCUUAAUUUUGAAAUGUUAUCUAUGUAAUAAAAUAAGUGAUCUGCCAGCACUGCAAUGGUGAGUGCUUUUUGCUCAUGAAGCAGUCCUUCUGCACCUACUGAAAUAAACAGGAGCAUC